rnacentral:rRNA from 1 species
CAGUCGCCGCGGUAAUACGGAGGGUGCGAGCGUUAAUCGGAUUUACUGGGCGUAAAGCGUGCGUAGGCGGCUUUUUAAGUCGGAUGUGAAAUCCCUGAGCUUAACUUAGGAAUUGCAUUCGAUACUGGGAAGCUAGAGUAUGGGAGAGGAUGGUAGAAUUCCAGGUGUAGCGGUGAAAUGCGUAGAGAUCUGGAGGAAUACCGAUGGCGAAGGCAGCCAUCUGGCCUAAUACUGACGCUGAGGUACGAAAGCAUGGGGAGCAAACAGGAUUAGAUACCCCUGUAGUCCCUGUCUCUUAUAC